GACUGACCGAUAGUGAACCAGUACCGUGAGGGAAAGGCGAAAAGAACCCCGGCGAGGGGAGUGAAAAAGAACCUGAAACCGUGUACGUACAAGCAGUGGGAGCACGCUUAGGCGUGUGACUGCGUACCUUUUGUAUAAUGGGUCAGCGACUUAUAUUCUGUAGCAAGGUUAACCGAAUAGGGGAGCCGAAGGGAAACCGAGUCUUAACUGGGCGUUAAGUUGCAGGGUAUAGACCCGAAACCCGGUGAUCUAGCCAUGGGCAGGUUGAAGGUUGGGUAACACUAACUGGAGGACCGAACCGACUAAUGUUGAAAAAUUAGCGGAUGACUUGUGGCUGGGGGUGAAAGGCCAAUCAAACCGGGAGAUAGCUGGUUCUCCCCGAAAGCUAUUUAGGUAGCGCCUCGUGAAUUCAUCUCCGGGGGUAGAGCACUGUUUCGGCAAGGGGGUCAUCCCGACUUACCAACCCGAUGCAAACUGCGAAUACCGGAGAAUGUUAUCACGGGAGACACACGGCGGGUGCUAACGUCCGUCGUGAAGAGGGAAACAACCCAGACCGCCAGCUAAGGUCCCAAAGUCAUGGUUAAGUGGGAAACGAUGUGGGAAGGCCCAGACAGCCAGGAUGUUGGCUUAGAAGCAGCCAUCAUUUAAAGAAAGCGUAAUAGCUCACUGGUCGAGUCGGCCUGCGCGGAAGAUGUAACGGGGCUAAACCAUGCACCGAAGCUGCGGCAGCGACGCUGAUGCGUUGUUGGGUAGGGGAGCGUUCUGUAAGCCUGCGAAGGUGUGCUGUGAGGCAUGCUGGAGGUAUCAGAAGUGCGAAUGCUGACAUAAGUAACGAUAAAGCGGGUGAAAAGCCCGCUCGCCGGAAGACCAAGGGUUCCUGUCCAACGUUAAUCGGGGCAGGGUGAGUCGACCCCUAAGGCGAGGCCGAAAGGCGUAGUCGAUGGGAAACAGGUUAAUAUUCCUGUACUUGGUGUUACUGCGAAGGGGGGACGGAGAAGGCUAUGUUGGCCGGGCGACGGUUGUCCCGGUUUAAGCGUGUAGGCUGGUUUUCCAGGCAAAUCCGGAAAAUCAAGGCUGAGGCGUGAUGACGAGGCACUACGGUGCUGAAGCAACAAAUGCCCUGCUUCCAGGAAAAGCCUCUAAGCAUCAGGUAACAUCAAAUCGUACCCCAAACCGACACAGGUGGUCAGGUAGAGAAUACCAAGGCGCUUGAGAGAACUCGGGUGAAGGAACUAGGCAAAAUGGUGCCGUAACUUCGGGAGAAGGCACGCUGAUAUGUAGGUGAAGCGACUUGCUCGUGGAGCUGAAAUCAGUCGAAGAUACCAGCUGGCUGCAACUGUUUAUUAAAAACACAGCACUGUGCAAACACGAAAGUGGACGUAUACGGUGUGACGCCUGCCCGGUGCCGGAAGGUUAAUUGAUGGGGUUAGCGCAAGCGAAGCUCUUGAUCGAAGCCCCGGUAAACGGCGGCCGUAACUAUAACGGUCCUAAGGUAGCGAAAUUCCUUGUCGGGUAAGUUCCGACCUGCACGAAUGGCGUAAUGAUGGCCAGGCUGUCUCCACCCGAGACUCAGUGAAAUUGAACUCGCUGUGAAGAUGCAGUGUACCCGCGGCAAGACGGAAAGACCCCGUGAACCUUUACUAUAGCUUGACACUGAACAUUGAGCCUUGAUGUGUAGGAUAGGUGGGAGGCUUUGAAGUGUGGACGCCAGUCUGCAUGGAGCCGACCUUGAAAUACCACCCUUUAAUGUUUGAUGUUCUAACGUUGACCCGUAAUCCGGGUUGCGGACAGUGUCUGGUGGGUAGUUUGACUGGGGCGGUCUCCUCCUAAAGAGUAACGGAGGAGCACGAAGGUUGGCUAAUCCUGGUCGGACAUCAGGAGGUUAGUGCAAUGGCAUAAGCCAGCUUGACUGCGAGCGUGACGGCGCGAGCAGGUGCGAAAGCAGGUCAUAGUGAUCCGGUGGUUCUGAAUGGAAGGGCCAUCGCUCAACGGAUAAAAGGUACUCCGGGGAUAACAGGCUGAUACCGCCCAAGAGUUCAUAUCGACGGCGGUGUUUGGCACCUCGAUGUCGGCUCAUCACAUCCUGGGGCUGAAGUAGGUCCCAAGGGUAUGGCUGUUCGCCAUUUAAAGUGGUACGCGAGCUGGGUUUAGAACGUCGUGAGACAGUUCGGUCCCUAUCUGCCGUGGGCGCUGGAGAACUGAGGGGGGCUGCUCCUAGUACGAGAGGACCGGAGUGGACGCAUCACUGGUGUUCGGGUUGUCAUGCCAAUGGCACUGCCCGGUAGCUAAAUGCGGAAGAGAUAAGUGCUGAAAGCAUCUAAGCACGAAACUUGCCCCGAGAUGAGUUCUCCCUGACUCCUUGA
rnacentral:rRNA from 1 species